rnacentral:rRNA from 1 species
GAUGAACGCUGGCGGCGUGCCUAAUACAUGCAAGUCGAGCGAACAGACGAGGAGCUUGCUCCUCUGACGUUAGCGGCGGGCGGGUGAGUAACACGUGGAUAACCUACCUAUAAGACUGGGAUAACUUCGGGAAACCGGAGCUAAUACCGGAUAAUAUAUUGAACCGCAUGGUUCAAUAGUGAAAGACGGUUUUGCUGUCACUUAUAGAUGGAUCCGCGCCGCAUUAGCUAGUUGGUAAGGUAACGGCUUACCAAGGCGACGAUGCGUAGCCGACCUGAGAGGGUGAUCGGCCACACUGGAACUGAGACACGGUCCAGACUCCUACGGGAGGCAGCAGUAGGGAAUCUUCCGCAAUGGGCGAAAGCCUGACGGAGCAACGCCGCGUGAGUGAUGAAGGUCUUCGGAUCGUAAAACUCUGUUAUUAGGGAAGAACAAAUGUGUAAGUAACUAUGCACGUCUUGACGGUACCUAAUCAGAAAGCCACGGCUAACUACGUG